UACGGAGGGUGCAAGCAUUAAUCGGAUUUAUUGGGCGUAAAGGGCGCGUAGGCGGGUUAGUAAGUCGAAUGUGAAAUACCAAAGCUCAACUUUGGGGCUGCAUUUGAAACUGCUAGUCUGGAGGAUUGACGGAGAAAAUGGAAUUCCACGUGUAGCGGUGAAAUGCGUAGAUAUGUGGAAGAACACCUGUGGCGAAAGCGAUUUUCUAGUUUAUACCUGACGCUGAGGCGCGAGAGCAAGGGGAGCAAACAGG
rnacentral:rRNA from 1 species